rnacentral:rRNA from 1 species
AGAUUGAACGCUGGCGGCAUGCCUUACACAUGCAAGUCGAACGGUAACGCGGGGCAACCUGGCGACGAGUGGCGAACGGGUGAGUAAUGCAUCGGAACGUGCCCAGUAGUGGGGGAUAGUUCGGCGAAAGCCGGAUUAAUACCGCAUACGACCUAAGGGUGAAAGCGGGGGACCGUAAGGCCUCGCGCUAUUGGAGCGGCCGAUGUCAGAUUAGGUUGUUGGUGGGUAAAAGCCUACCAAGCCGACGAUCUGUAGCUGGUCUGAGAGGACGACCAGCCACACUGGGACUGAGACACGGCCCAGACUCCUACGGGAGGCAGCAGUGGGGAAUUUGGACAAUGGGGGCAACCCUGAUCCAGCCAUGCCGCGUGCGGGAAGAAGGCCGUUCGGUUGUAAACCGCUUUUGGUCGUAGGGAAGAAACGCGUCUGGUUAAUACGUCGGGUAAUGACGGUACCUGAAGAAUAAGCACGCUAACUACGUGCCAGCAGCCGC